AGACCAGUGAUGGUUUAAAAGUAAUGGACAGAAGGUUUGUGAAAUUCUAUUUUGAAGCU
ensembl:snoRNA